GACGGAAGGUGCAAGCGUUGCUCGGAAUCACUGGGCGUAAAGGGUGCGUAGGCGGCCGCGCAAGUCUGGCGUGAAAGCCCCGGGCUCAGCCCGGGAAGGGCGCUCGAAACGGCGCGGCUCGAGUGCCGGAGGGGAGAGUGGAAUUCCUGGUGUAGCGGUGAAAUGCGUAGAUAUCAGGAGGAAUACCGGUGGCGAAAGCGACUCUCUGGGACGGUACUGACGCUGAGACGCGAAAGCGUGGGGAGCGAACAGG
rnacentral:rRNA from 1 species